UUUUAUCAAUACCUUGCCGCCCUUUGUGGCAUCUCCGUUAAAGUCCUCCAGUAUAAUCAAGCGCUCGUGACACAGUCCAAGAAUGGAGUUGUGUGAGGGGAAUUCUGAGGGCUUAUGAGAAAACUUCAAGGAAACAAGAGUCUGUGACCUCAGUUUCUUCAAAAGCAUGAACAGUUCCUGGAAUGUGCUUUUGUGCCCCUCCCAGGUGAGAUGGAUAGGAGUGAGCUUACCUUGCUGAGUUUACCCAGUGGCAUUGUUAUGGGCAUAUAUGGCUCUCUAGAAAAACAUGUUUUUGCCACUUGUGGCUUGUUCUCAUGAUUACACACUUUACUCAAAUGACUCUUAUUCCUCACAGAAAAAAAAAAAUUAAAAAAGGCUAUUUACUGUUGAUUGCAUGAGACUGUAAUCUGACUCAUUUUAGGCCCUGCUCCCCAGGUUCAUGCUGCCAAUAGAGCUUGUGAACACUGGAAAUCAAACCUAGGUCCUCUGCAAGGGAGGCUCUCUGCAAACCUGUGGUCAGGCACCUCUGCUGGCCGAGCACCUCUGCUGGGAGCCUCCAGAUGUCCUUGCAGUGCCCGAGGAAGCCCAGCCUGCCAGUGAGAGAAGCACAAGAACACAAAGUCCAGAGGGAACACGCCUGCUGCCAUCUGUCUCCCUUCUACACACUAGCAAUCCCAAUAUGCAAAUGCAUGUUUUCUAUAACCCAUCUAAGAGACAGGCCAAGUUCUGGCCAGAUCCAUCUCCAGCAGCCUGUCUGUAAGUUCUUUUCUUUUCCUGCACAAUUGCCUCUGGCCUAUAAUGUGUCGUUACUUGCUGUAUUUUCUCUAGAUGUGUG